rnacentral:tRNA from 1 species
GCGUUCGUGGUGUAACGGUAGCACACUCGGCGCGUAUUCGAAAGGUCCAGGUUCGAGUCCCGGAGAAGGCA